rnacentral:misc_RNA from 1 species
GAUGAAGAACGUAGCGAAAUGCGAUAAGUAAUGUGAAUUGCAGAAUUCCGUGAACCAUCGAAUCUUUGAACGCAAAUUGCGCCCGAGGCUUCGGCCGAGGGCAUGUCUGCCUCAGCGUCGGCUUACACCCUCGCCUCCUCUCCCGCUAGGGUUGCAAGGAGCGCGGAUCUGGCCCUCCCGGCUCGGCCCUCUCACGAGUGGCUCCGGGUUGGUUGAAGCCCAGAGGCAUGAGCAUGGACCCCGUUUGCAGGGCAAUGGCUUGGUAGGUAGGCACCCCUACAUGGCCUGCCGUUGCCCAAGAGGACCGUGCUGGAGGCCUAGCAGGAAUUCGGGCGUUUGGUCAUCUGGCCGCCCCGAAGCUCUCACACCUUCGACCUGAGCUCAGGCAAGACUACCCGCUGAACUUAAGCAUAUCAAUAAGCGGAGGA